rnacentral:misc_RNA from 1 species
CCGAGUUCAUGCCCUUACGGGUAGAUCUCCCACCCUUUGUAUACUAUACCUUUGUUGCUUUGGCGGGCCGCCUAGCUACUGGCUUCGGCUGGUAAGUGCCCGCCAGAGGACCCAAAACUCUGAAUUAAAUGUCGUCUGAGUACUAUGUAAUAGUUA